rnacentral:rRNA from 1 species
GAUGAACGCUGGCGGCGUGCCUAAUACAUGCAAGUCGAGCGAACGGACGAGAAGCUUGCUUCUCUGAUGUUAGCGGAGGACGGGUGAGUAACACGUGGAUAACCUACCUAUAAGACUGGGAUAACUUCGGGAAACCGGAGCUAAUCCCGGAUAAUAUUUUGAACCGCAUGGUUCAAAAGUGAAAGACGGUCUUGUUGUCACUUAUCGAUGGAUACGCGCUGCAUUAGCUAGUUGGUAAGGUAACGGAUUACCAAGGCAACGAUGCAUAGCCGACCUGAGAGGGGGGUCGGCGACACGGGAACGGAGACAGGGUCCAUGGUCCUGCGGGAGGGAGCAGUAGGGAAUCUUCCGCAAUGGUCGAAAGCCUGACGGAGCAACGCCGCGUGAGUGAUGAAGGUCUUCGGAUCGUAAAACUCUGUUAUGAGGUAAGAACAUAUGUGUAAGUAACUGUGCACAUCUUGACGGUACCUAAUCAGAAAGCCACGGCUAACUACGUG